CAGGCUAUGACUAGGUAUAGCAGCAGACUCUUAAUCUGAAGGUUCCCGGUUCAAUUCCGGGGCGGCUCACCA
rnacentral:tRNA from 1 species